rnacentral:rRNA from 1 species
UACGAAGGGGGCUAGCGUUGUUCGGAAUUACUGGGCGUAAAGCGCGUGUAGGCGGGUCUUUAAGUCAGGGGUGAAAUGCCAAGGCUCAACCUUGGAACUGCCUUUGAUACUGAGGAUCUUGAGUACGGGAGAGGUGAGUGGAACUGCGAGUGUAGAGGUGAAAAUUCGUAGAUAUUCGCAAGAACACCAGUGGCGAAGGCGGCUCACUGGCCCGUACUGACGCUGAGGCACGAAAGCGUGGGGAG